GGUGGGGAGCAGCGGAGCUGGCACAACUUCUCUGCCAAGGGCUUCUAUUUUCUUAGCAAAAUCGGAAGAGGUUGUCAGCUGAGAGUGAGGUGGGGGAGGAGGUGUGAAGCAGUCGUCUAGGAGAGCGGGUGUGAAUCGACUUCAGGGAUGGCGUGUAGUGGCUGGGCACUUGUGGUCCUUGGAAGGGGCCUGGGGGCUGAGCCUGCAGCUCGGCUGUGAGGAGCAGGCAUGAGGCCUUGACUCCUCCAGCUCGGAAAAAGAACUAUAUAAUGAACGAGUGGAGGCUGGUCGGAGAGGCUCCAGUCUUCCUAUCCAGAGUCACACCCCAUGUUUGAGGUGAGAUGUUUCCAGAUUGCAGAUUCCUAGUCUCCUCCAGACCACUUGCAAGAUGAUCUCAAAACAGCGCCAGGCAGGUGUGGUGGCGCACACCUUUAAUCCCAGCACUCAUGAGGCAGAGGGAGGUGGAUCUCUAUGAGUUAGAAGUCAGCCUGGUCUACAUGAGAGAGAGGCCAUUCUGGUCCACAAAGUCAUCAGCUACACAGCAGGUUUGAGACCAGCUUGGGUUCCAGAAGAUUCCGUCUCAAACCAUGGCAGUGGCAACAACAAAAGGGGCAAGGCAUGGUGUCUCCUACCUGUGACCCCUGACCUGGGAGGCAGAGACAGUAAGACUGAAGUAAGUUCAAGGCUAGCCUGGUCUACACAGCAAGUUCCAGCUCAGACCCUUUCUCCAAAACAAAACAACAGGAGCUGUGGAAAGACAGCUCGGCAUUGGCUGCUCUUGCCAAGGACCCAGGUUCAGCUUCCAUCGCCAACAUGGUGUCUCAGCACUGCCUGUGACCCAUUCCAGGGACCCAGUGCCCUCUGACGGCAUCCACAGGCAUUAGGCACAGCAGGUAGCACACAUACGUGUGUGCAGAAGCAACACUCAUACACAUAAAAAUAAAGAUUUAAAAAAUAUUUAUUUAGUUUACAUCCCAACUGGUUUCUCCUCUCUCCUCUCUUUCCAGCCCCUCCCCGCACCUUCCCUCUGCCCACCUCCCAUUCACUCCUUCAUUUCUAUUCAGAAAAUGGCAGAUCUCUCAACAAAACAUGGCAUAUUAAGCUGCAGUGAGACUAAACAUCUCCCCUUGUGUUAAGGCUGGACAGGGCAAUCCAGUAUGAAGAGUAGGGUCCCAAAAGCCAUCAAAAGAGUCAGAGACAGCCCCUGUUCCCACUAUUAGGAGUCCCACAAAAAGACAAAGCUACAUAACUGUCACAUAUGUGCAGAGGGCCUAGGUCAGUUGUUGGCUUAGUCUCUGUGAGCUCCUAUGAGCCUAGGUUUGUUGUAGAAUAUUAUUUUACGACGUGUUAUACUCAUUUAUGCUGUGGAAUAUUUGUUUAAUGAUGCAAAGAUGUGUUACCUUCUUUUAUGGUGCAUUUGUUUAACUCUGUAAAGCUGUGUUACUGUGCCUGCCUAAAACACCUGAUUGGUCUAAUAAAGAGCUCAAUGGCCAAUAGUUUUGCAGGAGAGGGAUAGGCAGGGCUGCCAGGCAGAGAGAAUAAAUCAAAGAGAGAAGAGAAAAGGAGAAGGAGAGGAGGACUUCAGGGACCAGCUACCUAGCCACACGGCCAGCCCGGAGUAAGAAGGAAAGAAAGGUAAACAGAAUAGAGAAAGGUAAAAUCUAAGAGGCAAAAGAUACAUGGGAUAAUUUAAGAAAAGCUGGCUAGAAACAAGCCAAGCUAAGUCCGGGCAUUCAUAAGUAAGAGUAAGCCUCCAUGUAUUUAUUUGGGAGGUGGGUGGUGGGCCCCCAAAGAGCAAAGAGUAAAAAAACAAAACAAAACAGGGGGCUGGAGAGAUGGCUCAGAGGUUAAGAGCACCGACUGCUCCUCCAGAGGUCCUGAGUUCAAGUCCCAGCAACCACAUGGUGGCUCACAACCAUCUGUAAGGAGAUCUGGCACCCUCUUCUGUAUACAUAAUAAAUAAAUAAAUCUUUAAAACAAAGAAACAAACAAAAAACAAAACAAAAAAAAACACAGGUUAGUUGUUUCUGUGGGUUUUCUUGUGAAGUACUUGAUCUCUC